rnacentral:rRNA from 1 species
AAGUCGAGGGAAACGGACGGGAGGAACUUGUUCUUCUGGACGUGAGCGGCGGACGGGUGAGUAACACGUGGGAAACCUACCUUUCAGCGGGGGAUAACGUUCGGAAAACGGACGCUAAUACCGCAUAACGUUAACAGUCGCAUGAUUGUAAAAUAAAAGACGGCUCUGCUGUCACUGAAAGAUGGACCCGCGGUGCAUUAGUUAGUUGGUAAGGUAACGGCUUACCAAGACGAUGAUGCAUAGCCGACCUGAGGGGGUGAUCGGCCACACUGGGACUGAGACACGGCCCAGACUCCUACGGGAGGCAGCAGUAGGGAAUCUUCCGCAAUGGACGCAAGUCUGACGGAGCAAUGCCGCGUGUAUGAAGAAGGUCUCCGGAUCGUAAAGUACUGUUAUCAGCCAAGAACAAUUCACAGAGUAACUGUUGUGGAUCUGACGGUAACUGAUCAGAAAGCCACGGCUAACUACGUGCCAGCAGCCGCGGUAAUACGUAGGUGGCAAGCGUUGUCCGGAUUUAUUGGGCGUAAAGGGAGCGCAGGCGGUGACUUAAGUCUGAUGUGAAAGCCCACGGCUCAACCGUGGAAGGUCAUUGGAAACUGGGUCACUUGAAUGGAGCAGAGGAGAACGGAAUUCCAUGUGUAGCAGUGAAAUGCGUAGAUAUAUGGAGGAACACCAGUGGCGAAGGCGGUUCUCUGGGCUCACAUUGACGCUGAGGCUCGAAAGCGUGGGGAGCGAACAGGAUUAGAUACCCUGGUAGUCCACACCGUAAACGAUGAUUACUAGGUGUGGGGGGAUAGACCCCCUCCGUGCCGCAGCUAACGCA